AAUACAGUGACUUCAUUCUAACUGAAAGCAAAAAUGAAUUUAAGGUGAAUCGUCAGGUCACUGGUAACAAGUAGUGCACAGACUGGAGCAAGAACAUGGAAUAGCAUUGUCUUAUGUGAUACUGUGACCUCAAGAGAGAAGAUGUCUGCAUCACUGGGUGACUGAAUGAAACAGAACUCUACCAACCCACAAUCAGACUGUAAGAGAAGUGAGAAAUAAACUUGACAAAUAAAGCUAAUAAUUUAUCCUGACACAGUUUCAUGAAUACUGGAAGAAGACAUGAGAUUCAUGGAUCAGAGACAAGCAGGUGUUGACAGCCUAAGAAGGAAACUGAUUCUAUCCCUUUGCUAUAGCAAAGUUAUAGCUUAACUUCGCUUUAAAUUUGAGAAACCUGUGGUGAUUGCAUGACCAAGGCCAAUAUAUAAAACCCAGGUUUCUAAGAUCUAAUGCAAGACUGAGCUGAACAAGAAAGUGGGGAGCAUCAUUUCAGCACAGGCAACACUUUCCUUCUCUUGUGGAAACCUAAAUUAGAAAUCAAAUGAAGAGAUGUUGAAAUUGAAAACUAGGACUCUGCUGCAAAUUUCUUUCUUCAAAUGAUAAAGGGAGCCUGCUGACACAUUGAUAUGAAAUUGUUAACAUACUUAAAUCGAUUUCCUCUGUAAUUUUUUUUUUUUAUAUUUUGGUUGUAGAUGAAGUUUUUCUGUGGAGAUUUUAUGUGCUGUAAUUUAUAUCUGGUAAUUUCGGGUGCAGAUACAACAAAAAAUCGACUAUGCUAGAUCUAGAUUCCCAAAGCUAUUAUAUCUAAUUUUCACAGACCCUUUUCUCACUCAUUAGGCAAAAUGGCCACCACAAUUAAAUUUAAGCUUAUAGAAGAUGGAUAUAUAAUUAAUGGCAACAUUACUCAAUUCAGCAUUCUUCAUUUUAUCAGAGAAUAAACUGAGACACAGAUGAUCUGUAUAAUUUGCCCAAGGUCUCAGAGGAAGUGAGGACAAGAAAAGAAAAGAUACACACAUAUAUAUAUAUGUAACUUCCUGAAUCAGUAGAUUAUGUCAUUUAUUACAUAAAGGACUCUUUUUACCUGCAAUUUUACAUUAAUUUAUCAAGAAAAUCGAGAUAUUUUUAUUUUCUUUUCAUGUCUUCAUUCAUCUAUUAUGUACACACCUAACAAAUAUUAAUUUAUAAACUUCUACAUGCACUCUUAUAGUAAAGCCUUAUCACUAAAUAGCUAAAAUUUAGCAAUGUGUUAUAUGUUUUCAUUUAUGCAUGAAGUUUUAACAUCAAUUCCUAAAUAUUUAUAUAAUAUAUAAUACCUAUUUGGGAAUAAACACUAUUCAAGGCACUGUAUAUAGAAGUGAACCAACUAACCAAUGAGUUGCCUCCAUCAGGAAACAUAUUCCAGGGAGGAGCAUCAUACAGUGAACACAUAGAAAUGCUAAUUUUGUAGUGUAACAAUUAUGGUAGGAAAAAAUAGGGUAGGAAUGUUACCUUAGAUGCAAUGGUGAUAAAAGGUCUCUCUAUCAGGAGGGAACUUUCUAACAGAAAUAUAAAUGUUGAAAAGAAAACAGCCAUGUGAGGAGUCAGAAAGCAAAGACCUCGGGAAGGCCCUCCAAACUCUAAGCCCCAAAAGGAGCAAAUGAAAAGGUCAGAGCUGCUGUAGUUAAAACUGCAGAUGUCAUGUGCACUUAAUUCAGGGCUGGAUGAGUUCAUCUGAGGAAGUGAAGAGGGGUAAGGCCAAAGCCUCCAAAACCCAGUGGUUGUUACUGGAGGAUCUACUGGCAAAAGCCAGAGAGCAGAAAUUAUAGCAGCCAUGUGUGGGAAGCCAAGAGAGAAAAGAGUUUCUUUACAUUGUGUUCUUUAUAAUAAUUAACAACUUAUAUUGCAGAAUUUCAACUAAUUGCAAAACAAGUGAAGAAAAUAGUCAUUCAAAGAACAAAGUUGAAUUUUAACAUUACUUUAGAAUAAAGAGAAAGCAAUAAGAUAAAACAUAGAGGAAACGAAUUAUGCAUUAAUGAAUGGAAGUAUUGUACUCAUAUGAAUAAAUAAAAAUUUAUUCCUACUAAUGUAGUUUAAUAGCAAAGUAAUAAAAUAACAAAGAUUUAUUUCAAACAGAUUAUCCAUUGUUGUGUUGUUCACUCAAGGAAAAUAAAGUUAGCGGCAGUUUAGAGGUCUAGAAAAGUCAGAUUUCUGUGUUCUUGCAUUUCAACACAACUAUUCUGUGACAAGAAUAAAUUAAUUUGGUGCUUCAAAUCCACACUAUUAAAUUCAACUAUUGUGCUCUGACAUUCGUUAGCCUCCAUUAACACGUUAAAAUAGACUUGUUAUAUAAUUUUCUAAAUUAUUUUAACAGAGACAAAAAGUCAUGUAAUUCACUUGGGGAUGAGAAGUAUUAAGGACCAAGUUCCUUCAUUAGUGUAUUACUUCAGUGAGGCCAUGUGACGCUAUAAAAUGUCAGAAGAAAUUUCUUUUGUGGACUGAGAAGCUGGUUAACAUGAAGUUUAGGGAUUGGUAGUUGUAGGGAACAGUAUUGAAGUGGGAUACACAAUAGAAACAAUUAUGUGAUUCUUGUCUCAGAAUUACCUUCUAAAAAUAGGGACCUCAGUGGUAUCAAUUAUGUUACAAGAUUGAAUGAUUUAAUUUGCAUAAAAUACAAAUGUGUCUGUGAAUGUAAAUGUAAUAUAAUGGUAUAUUAGUGCUCUUUUUUUACUAGUUUAACAGUUGUAUCUUAAGGUAGGUCGAAUACUGGAAUUCAAACAAGCUUGGAACUAAAUUAGAUAGUAACAGAUCUUUUAGCCACCUCAGAGGGUGGCUAAUAUGUAAUGAACCCCAAAGAUAAUCACAGCAUUUCUUGGAAUCUAGGACUAAUACAUGAUAAUUCACUAAUGUGGCACCUCACAUAAUGCUUCCAACAUUUAACAAUGAUAGCGGCUAGGCGCAGUGGUUCACGCCUGUAAUCCCAGCAAUUUGGGAGGCUGACGUGGGUGAAUCACGAAGUCAAGAGAUUGAGACCAUCCUGGCCAACAUGGUGAAACCUUGUCUCUACUAAAAAUACAAAAAUUAGCUGGGCAUGGUGGCACAUGCCUGUAGUCACAGCUCUCGGGAGGCUGAUGCAGGAGAAUUGCUUGAACACAGGAGGCGGAGGUUGCAGGGAGCCGAGAUGGUGCCACUGCACUCCAGCCUGGCAACAGAGCGAGUCUCCAUUUCAAAAAAAAAAAAUAAUAAUAAUUGUCUAAUCAUUUAAUAAGUACUCAAUAGUUGGUAAGGCUGAUGAUGGUUAGAGAAAGGCAGGAAGAGGGCGAUUAGAUAGUGUAGGAUGGGAGUGCAGGACCAGGAGACAGGGAGACAGAAGAAAAAAAUCUCCAAUGACUUCUUCAAAUAUCAUCCACCAUAAGAAAAUACUUCAGUGAACCCAAACAAAAAAGUCUCGUUUCAUUUCAAAUCUAUUCACCUGAUCUUUUAAGGACCACUUUCCCUCAGCAUCUUUUAAAUUAUGAAUUACACAUUGUGUAAAAUUUCUGUAACAAAUUUGGUUUGUGACUGACUAAAUUUAUAAUUAUAUGAAAGCAAAAAAAAGUACCUAAAUCUAAAAGUCAUGUUUGACAUUUAUUUUCUGCUAAACACUUUGAAACAAACUAUGCAAAAUGAAUUUCUAAUAUGGUUUAAUUAUAUACAUCAUUGAUGAAAUCAUGUUAUGUUUAUUUUAUUUUGAAUCACUAUAUAUUACAUUUCCAAAUACUUUUUACGUUUGAAGAUAUACAAUUUCUGAGGGUUUAAAUAACAAAAACAAUAAGCUUAGAAUAGAUUAUUUCUAUUUAAAAUACUUUCUUUUACAAUUUAUUUAAUCUCCCUAAAGUAGGGGGUUCAUAGUGCAGUUUUAUCUUGGACAGUUCUAAACUCUUCUGUCAUAUUUUGAAACUCUUGUUUAAUAAUUAUUGUAUUUCAGAAUUACAAAAAACAAACUGAUAUAAUUGGUAUGAAUGCUAAAGCUUAUGUUUCUGUAUGAAUUCAGAUAAAAUUUUCAAUGUUGUUCUAGUAUGAACCAAAUACCUGAUGUUUAACAAUUGAAUGAUUCUGAGAAGAUAAGUUGAGCUCCUUGAAUCUGUUUCCUUAUUUUCAAAAUAAGAUUAAUAAAACUUCCUUCAUUUUAAAUAAA